GCAAACCAUAAUGUCGUUUGUACUGGGGAUUUGUCUAUUGGUUUGAUGCUUAUUGUUAAUGUAAAUGCUUACAUAGUUCUCUGGUAACUUUUCUCACUAUACGUUCACGUCGUUUUGGUUCUAUCUUUAUCUCAGGAAACACGCAAGCUAGUAGUGCUUCAGGCCGAAGACGCAACUAAGGUAUCCUGGUUUUAUUGCGGCCUUGGUGAGCGCAGCAAGUUUUCACGGUGCACGAAGCUGCUCAUUGCCGACUGCAAAUAAACAUACCGCACCUGUAGAGACUCUCUGCUCAUUCGUGACGCCAAGGGCUGUAACAUUGAGGAAGGAACAGUCUUCCUGCAACAGCAGCAGAGCCAGG